rnacentral:lncRNA from 1 species
AUUCUUGUCUCCUUAUUCAGAUGUUAGUCUGAACUUUAGUCUUCCACAAAACAAAUGACAUUUCUUUCCUGUCCUCAGGAAGGUAAGACAUCCUGAGAAUCCUUCUGAAGUGGACCCCAAUGGAGACACACACACUUAAAGCCUCUUACUGCUACUGCAUAUAGUAAGAAGGAAGGCAUGGGAAGUAUGUCUGUGGGGCAAGCAUACUAAAGAAAUGAAGACAUCCACAACCAUCCAGGCCUGGUAAAAAUCUUUUCAGUGUGCGCU